GCAGGGGACAGGAGAGGAGGUCUUUGGGGGCUGAGGAGUGGGCUGCGGGGCUGGCCUCCCCAGGGUGUUAAAGCCAGAAGGGGAACCCCGCUCACUGUGCGGUUACUGUAAAUGUGGCCCGUGGUACGGUGCCAUCAGGCUCACUGAUGUGGAACGUUCACUUUGUGGAACGAGGGUAACAAAGGUCUGAGGCGGCGAUCCACCUGCUGGGGCUGUAAGGAGCCUCAGCCAUGGAGGUGCUGUUGCAUCCCUGACUGCCUUCGCAAGGCACAUGACGGCUAGUGGGAACUGCCUGUACUGCAGCCUUACAGUGUGAGGCGUUUAAAUGUUGCCCAGGAGUAUCGUAGGGACAUCAAACCAGCUCUGUGCUUCACACCAGCGCUGGACUGACAUCUCUUUCUGACAGAUAAACUCUUCUGAGCUCUGCCAUUUGUUGUAAUCACACUGCUUCAGUUGCAGCACAUCACAGACAGCACUGCACGAGCACCUCUACUCUUCUACAAGAGCAGACCCCUCUCAGCCCGAGAGAUUUCCACACAGUUGUUUUUAUUAUUUGCCCAGAAAUGGGUUGGCUAUGUAGACCAGGCUUCAAGAAAAAGUUCACGGAGCAGUCAAUACCUGAGUACCCUUGUGAAUGCUGCUUGCUGGUGCCCAGCAUUCCCUCUAGCAGUCUCUCAGGCCUAACACCAACCACAACCGUUCGCCUUCACUCAAGGACCCGGGCAGCCAAACGAGGAAAAGUCAAACAGUGCUUUGAGCAGUGGGACACCUUGCUGGGACGACUGGAGAGGACAGAACAAAUGUCUGUUCUUAGGGACUCAUUUUGGUCUUGGUAAUUGAAAUCUCUGUGCUCAGUUCAGCACAACAGUCUCCUAAAUUGCACAAUUCAUUUUUAGAAGAGCCUGUGAAGCUUGAAAGAAACCAACACAGAAGCUUACAGCCCUGUUUCUCCUGCCUAUCUCAAACACAUCCUGGCAAAGUAGGCUCUGUACCAUGGCAGAAAGGCCUUCUGCAUCAACGAGAAGCGGGCAAGCAGACCACAAGUACUGGGGAACCAUACAAAGGGAGAGAGGCCACAGGAUCACCUACAGCUUCUUUCCUACAGCUGUCAGAGGUAGGCACAAAACACCUGGCACAACUGUCGGAUUUAUGAUUCAGAAACAGAUUUCCCCAUGGGAGCAGCACAGAGAGAAGCCUUUUCCCAAACAAAGACAGCUCUUCCAGAGAGGACCUUCUUUCAGAGCUGGAGCUCCAAGUGAAGAAGGUUUUACAAUGCACUGGGAUGCAGCCCUGGACCCUUCCUUAGCAGCAUCACUGUCACCCUAUAAUUCAAAGGCAGGUUGUUGAGAUUUUUUCCAGGUCCCUCAUACCCACUCUUCUCCACUCUAGCAGUGCUGUUUAGCCAGUUUGAAAGAGCAGCCCAGCAUCCUGCAACACUGCAUCUCUUCCCUCUGACACCGCCUGGCAAACCAUUUCCCACGAGGAGAGGACUGUUGAGGAUGCAUGGCAAAAUUUGGAUUGCUCACAGAAUUUAUUUUGCAACAUCUACUUCUAAGAAGUGCUGCAGGCUACUGCAGUGGCUUUGCUGCCGGUGUGGGACCAAAUUAGCCUUCGCUUGGCAAGGUGCUGAGGUGUUUCCUGGCUAGUAAGAGGCUGGUUUUGCAUGAAAGGCUGGGAGUUAGUUUGAGAUGUCCCAUGCACUUAGCAAAGGAUAAUUUAACCUCUGUGUCCUAGCAGAGGAGGAGGAGACUUGCAAGUGUAAAUCUUGGGACAUGCAAAGCUGUUAUGCUCUGCUGACUUGGAACAGCAUUGAUCAGUUUGUGCUAGCUGCAGAUCUGGUGAGGAAACUUUAAGUACAGCAGAUUGAUUGCUACCAAGGGACAAAUUCCCCAUAGCUAUUCGGAUUCAAGCUUUAAAGUGCUGGCAUAUUGAUCUAUUUAUGGUGAUUUAUUAGUUAUAGCCCUGUACCCCAAACUCUCUCACACAGUUAUAUGAGUAAAAAAAGCAUCCUAUUGCUAGCUUAACUCAUUUUUUUCUUCCAGUGGAUAGCACAACCAGUAUAUAAAGCCCCCCACUGGUUGGGCAGCCCACAGUGGGGCUGGGAGAAGCAGAGAGGCACUCAGUGACAACAGGGAAGGCCCUGCUCCUCAGAGCAUGGAUCCCUAAUGGGCCCUUGGAGAUACUCCCAUGGAGUCACAAGGGUUUAAAUGUGCUGCCCACAUGGGAAGAGUUGAGGCAGGACAUGAAUGUCCUGCAGCCCAAGAAGUUCUGCCACCUCUGGGCUCUGCUUGACAUUUGUUGCAUACUUUCCCCUUAAUUUUCCCUAUUUUUCUAAUAAUUUUUGCUGAUAUGAAUGAGUUCCUGAUGCCUGAGCUGCAUCAAGAGAAGCAUGGCCAGCAGGGUGAGGGAGGUGAUUCUCCCCCUCUCCUUUGCUCUCAUGAGACCCCACCUGGAGUGCUACGAUCAGCUCUGGGGCCCCCAGCACAAGAAGGAUGCAGAAGUGUAGAACAAGUCCAAAGCAGGGCCACAAAGAUGAUCAAGGGACUGGAGCAUCUGUCCUACAAAGAGGGGCUGAGGGAGUUGGGGUUUUUCAGCCUGGAGAAGUGGAGGCUCCAGGGAAACCUUAUAGUG